AAAACAGGGGUGCCGAAAGGCUGAGAGCUGUUAUUGCAGUAACCCUUUAACCUGAUCCGGAUAAUGCCGGCGUAGGAAGUUUAAUAUA
rnacentral:ncRNA from 1 species